rnacentral:rRNA from 1 species
GACGAACGCUGGCGGCGUGCUUAACACAUGCAAGUCGAACGGAAAGGCCCUGCUUUUGUGGGGUGCUCGAGUGGCGCACGGGUGAGUAACACGUGAGUAACCUGCCCUUGACUUUGGGAUAACGUCAGGAAACUCGGGCUAAUACCGGAUAGGAGCUCCUGCUGCACGGUGGGGGUUGGAAAGUUUCGGCGGUUGGGGAUGGACUCGCGGCUUAUCAGCUUGUUGGUGGGGUAGUGGCUUACCAAGGCUUUGACGGGUAGCCGGCCUGAGAGGGUGACCGGCCACAUUGGGACUGAGAUACGGCCCAGACUCCUACGGGAGGCAGCAGUGGGGAAUAUUGCACAAUGGGCGGAAGCCUGAUGCAGCAACGCCGCGUGCGGAAUGACGGCCUUCGGGUUGUAAACCGCUUUCGCCUGUGACGAAGCGUGAGUGACGGUAAUGGGUAAAGAAGCACCGGCUAACUACGUG